ACUGGGAACUUGGGGGACAGGAGGGCAGCACAGUGUAAGCUAAAGCCCUGUGUAGGGACCCCACCCAAAGACCUCGUGGGCCUGGGUGUCCAGGGCACCAUUUCCACCCAUGGGUGAAAAAGAGGCUUGAGGAAGACAACAGGUUCUUCACCUGCAUCUGUGGAUAUAUAUUUUUUUUAAGUUUAUUAAUUUUUUUUUUUAAAUGACAGGUUCAGACCUGCCCUUUGUGGUUUGUGUUUUUGUUUGUUAAUACAGGGUCUCUGUCUCCCACGCUGGAGUGCAGUGAUGUAAUCUCGGCUCACUGCAACCUUGACCUCAAGGUUAAGCUCCAGCGAUCUUCCGACCUCAGCCUCCCAAGCAGCUGGGACCACAGGCAUGCAUGCGCCACCCCCCCCCCAGCUCAUUUCAUUUUUUAUUUUUGUAGAGAUAGGGUCUCACCAUGUUGCCCAGGCUGAUCUCGAACUGCUGGGAAUACAGGCAUGAGCCACGGUGCCCAGCCUUUGUUGUUGUUGUUGUUGCUAUUUUGGCAACAUCACGGCAGAACGGUAAAGGCAGAAAGCACAGUGCCCAGCAGCUAGCAGUGUGGCGUGCCAAGAAGGCUGUUCCAAUGGGGGAGAAGCCAGCAGACACAGGCAUCAUGGCGAGCCCCGACUGAGUGUUCAGUGAAGCGGGAAAACAGAGACAGUGGGGCAUCCCAAGAAGAUCCUCUGCAGGAGUGCGGUGUCUAUGGAUGGACCAAGAAAACCUACGCAGGAUCCACGUGGAAACAAAGCUGCUUAGCUCUGCAUAUCAGUGCUUCUCGGCGGAGCUGUGGCUGAUGGGCUCCUGGUGCAGGACUGGCCCCUGAACAGCACAAGUGUAGUAUGCCUGGGCCCCAGGUCAUCAUGAAAACCAGAAGCAGACACUCGGGAGGCUGAGGCGGGAGGAUCACCUGAGCCCAGGAGAUCGAGGCUGCAGUGAGCUGUGAUCGUGCCACUGUGCUCCGGGAUGGGCAACAGAAAGACCCCAUCUCAAAAAAGCAGAAGCACAUUUCCGAAGCCCCCCAAGCCCACGGGCGUGAGUGCAUGCAUGCGUUUGUGACAGCCUGGUGCUCGGAUGGGCCCAGAGCAGGGGUUCUCAACCUUGGCCCAUUAGAAUUACCUGAAAAUUUUUAAGAUAAUUCACAUCCGGCCAGGCAUGGUGGCUCAUGCCUGUAAUCCCAGCACUUUGGGAGUCCGAGGCGGGCGGAUCACCUGAGGUCAGGAGUUCAAGACCAGCCUGAGCAACAUGGAGAAACCCUGUCUCUACUAAAAAUACAAAAUUAGCUGGGCAUGGUAGCACAUGCCUGUAAUCCCAGCUACUUGGGAAGCUGAGGCAGGAGAAUGGCUUGAACCCAGUAGGCAGAGGUUGCGGUGAGCCAAGAUCGUCCCGUUGCACUCCAGCCUGGGGAACAAGAGUGAAACUCCAUUCCAAGAAAAAAAAAAAAAAUUCACAUCCAAAAUUUUAAAGAUAAUUCACAUCCAAAUCAACUCAAUCAGAAUCUCUCGGGGUGGGCCUCAGGCACCAGUGUUUUUUUGUUUGCUGGGACAGGGUCUUGCCGUUGCCCAUGCUGGAUUCAAAACACCUGGGCUCGGCAGGUGUUGUGGUUCAUGUCUGUAAUCCCAGCACUUUGGGAGGCCGAGGCAGGCAGAUCACUUGAGGUCAGGAGAUCUUCACCAGCCUGACCAUCAUGGUGAAACCCCAUCUCUACUAAAAAUACGAAGAUCAGCCAGGCCUGGUUGUAUGCACCUGUAAUCCCAGCUACUUGGGAGGCUGAGGCAGUGAGCCGAGAUCAUGGAACUGCACUCCAGCCUGGGCUAGAGCAAGACUCUGAAAAAGCAAAUAAACCGAAACUCUUGGGCUCAAGCAAUCCUCCGCCUCAGCCUCUGGAGCAGCUGCAAUUACAGACAGGCGCCACCACCUCCAGCAAGUACCAGUGUUUUUAAAACCUCCCUGGUAGAUUCCGUUGUGCAGCCCAGGCCGAGAAGCAUCGCGGAGUCUUGUCAUUCAGCCUGAAAUAGCAUCAAGUUCCCAUCCACUCGAACAACAGUUUGUAGAUCUUAGGCUGCUCUCAUCGAGCAAACAUGGCCUCCUUGCAACACCUCAAAUGGGUGCCAGGCAUGGUACGCAGCACACAAACUGUGUCACUUGAUACAGCGGCCCCAUGAGGCGAGGAGCUGGGAGGUCACAGAACAUGCCCCAGGGCACCCAGGGACACACUGAAGCCCAGGCCUCCAGCACGCAAGGGCUGCUCUGAAGAAACACGGGAGGUCCUCACUGGAGGGUCUGGGGCCACACCGUGGGUCCAGAGACAGAACAAACAGGAGGCAGAAACGAGGAGAGGACGGGCUCACCCAGCCGUGGGGCCGCGGGCUGGACAUCCAGUGGGAGUGGAAGCCGCCGUCUCAAGGCAGAAUUCCCUCUCUGGGACACCUCGGGUUUUGCUCUUAAAGCUUUCAGCUGAUAGGAUGAGGCCCACCCACAUUCUCAAGGAUGAUCUUUAGGUGAAAUGGACUGUAGGUGUUCACCACAUUCCAGCAGCACACGAUCACAGCAACACCUCGGCCCGUCGCGAUGAGAUCACUGGGCCCCACAGCCUGGCCUGGUUGACACGAAAGACUGACUAGCACACACGGUAAUUCUCCAGAAAUAUCCAGGCCAAGUUCUUCCACUUUCCUGUCAUAAGCAGCUGGUACUGUCCUUUGUGAGGCUGGCAAGAUGGGCUCAACAGGUCACAACCAAUGAUCAUGCUGGCAAGCCAGCAGUGGCAGGCACACGUCCCCAGCCAGAGAGGGACCGUGAUGGUUUGGAGGACAGCAUCUGCACAGAUAGGGGCUGGAAACCCUACGUCGGUCCCUGUGGACUGUCACGUCACUUUCUGGACUGCCCACGCAGCUUCACCCAGCAGCACUCGCACCUGAAGACGCUGCCACAGUUGGCUGCCCAGAAUCGGCACCAGCUACUUGCUGAGGCCCAGAAGCACCACUUGGCUCAGAUCCACCCAGAUGCCAACUCUGUCGGGCCCCUGUGGCAGCACCCAGAUGUCUGCAGAGCACAGGAGCAUCCCCAUGGGAUUGGGUGGGCUAGACCCAGCGUGGGGGUCUGCUAGCAGCCAGUAGCAUCUCCAUCUGGGUCUGACCCUUUUCUGGGCCCAUCGCUCUUUGACCAUUUCCCCACCUGGGUUCAUUCCCCCAAUCCCAAGCGCAGCUCCUGCAGGCCUGGAGCCCUGGGCCGUGACAGGCUGGUCCCCACAGGCCUGGAGCACUGGUGCUGUGACAGGCUGGUCCCCCCAAGCCUGGAACCCUGCGCCGUGACGGGCUGGUCCCCACAGACCUGGAGCACUGAGGUCAUGACGGGCUGGUCCCCGCAGACCUGGAGCCCUGGGCUGUCAUGGGCUGGUCCCUGCAGACCUGGAGCACGGGGUCAUGACAGGCUGGUCCCGGAAUCCCUGUGCCCACCCCCCACAGCCUACGGUUUUCGGUAUCCCACGGGCUCCUCAAACUCAGCCCAGUCAGACCCAGGAUCACCACCCCCCAGCCAGCUGCUGGCAGCCAGAAGCAGGGGGCCAGCCCCACCUCACCAAGCCCUGUUCGCCUCCAAGCACAGGUGCUGGUUACCUAUGCCUGGGAGGCAACUGUCCCCACAACUCAUUUGCAACUGAUAUGUCUCCCCUCCAAGUCCCUCUCUAAAUUUGCCUCCUGCUCCAGUAGAUGCUACAGCAUCACCCAAUGGUUGACGCAUCGCUCUGGUCACAAUCCGUGCCUGCUCGGCUCACUUGUGCAGGUGUAAGCCCCUCCUGGGCGCGAGUUCAGGCUGGUCAAAGGCAGCAAGCGAAUCAAGCCCUGGCGCGGUCCAGCCCCUGCCAUCUGGGGCUUGGCCAGCAGAGGGCGCCCCCACUCCAGCUGAGGUUCCCAGGACCCAGACCUGCGCCUGGAGGUGGCCCCAGGGCAGCGGGAAGCAGGCCCUGGGUGUGGUCACACACACAGAGCCCCAAGGGACAAGCCCAUUUGCAAAACCCCUUUAAUCAGAAUAAAUAGAGUCCCAGGCAGGGCAGAGUUCACUGGGGAUGCCCAAGCCGGAUUCACCCACCCUUCCAGCUCCAGCCUAGGCGCAGCCGCGGCUUUCGAGAGGCGAAACUGUCUUCCUUGUCCUGGUGUCCCAGCAGGGUCACUGGGAGGCAACAGUGUGGUCUCAGGGUGCUGGGCGGGCCCGUGAGGCCCAUCGCCGUCCCCCUAGGCAUCCUGUUCAUCUGUGAGCAGGGCAGGGGGUGCCGCAGCCUCCUCGGUUGUCCCAACCCU
rnacentral:lncRNA from 1 species